rnacentral:rRNA from 1 species
GGGUUGUGAGGUUAAGCGACUAAGCGUACACGGUGGAUGCCCUGGCAGUCAGAGGCGAUGAAGGACGUGCUAAUCUGCGAUAAGCGCCGGUAAGGUGAUAUGAACCGUUAUAACCGGCGAUUUCCGAAUGGGGAAACCCAGUGUGACUCGUCACACUAUCAUUAACUGAAUCCAUAGGUUAAUGAGGCGAACCGGGGGAACUGAAACAUCUAAGUACCCCGAGGAAAAGAAAUCAACCGAGAUUCCCCCAGUAGCGGCGAGCGAACGGGGAGGAGCCCAGAGCCUGAAUCAGCAUGUGUGUUAGUGGAAGCGUCUGGAAAGGCGCGCGAUACAGGGUGACAGCCCCGUACACAAAAGCGCAUGUGCUGUGAGCUCGAUGAGUAGGGCGGGACACGUGGUAUCCUGUCUGAAUAUGGGGGGACCAUCCUCCAAGGCUAAAUACUCCUGACUGACCGAUAGUGAACCAGUACCGUGAGGGAAAGGCGAAAAGAACCCCGGCGAGGGGAGUGAAAAAGAACCUGAAACCGUGUACGUACAAGCAGUGGGAGCACAGGUUUACCUGUGUGACUGCGUACCUUUUGUAUAAUGGGUCAGCGACUUAUAUUCUGUAGCAAGGUUAACCGAAUAGGGGAGCCGGAGGGAAACCGAGUCUUAACCGGGCGUUAAGUUGCAGGGUAUAGACCCGAAACCCGGUGAUCUAGCCAUGGGCAGGUUGAAGGUUGGGUAACACUAACUGGAGGACCGAACCGACUAAUGUUGAAAAAUUAGCGGAUGACCUGUGGCUGGGGGUGAAAGGCCAAUCAAACCGGGAGAUAGCUGGUUCUCCCCGAAAGCUAUUUAGGUAGCGCCUCGUGAAUUCAUCUCCGGGGGUAGAGCACUGUUUCGGCUAGGGGGCCAUCCCGGCUUACCAACCCGAUGCAAACUGCGAAUACCGGAGAAUGUUAUCACGGGAGACACACGGCGGGUGCUAACGUCCGUCGUGAAGAGGGAAACAACCCAGACCGCCAGCUAAGGUCCCAAAGUCAUGGUUAAGUGGGAAACGAUGUGGGAAGGCCCAGACAGCCAGGAUGUUGGCUUAGAAGCAGCCAUCAUUUAAAGAAAGCGUAAUAGCUCACUGGUCGAGUCGGCCUGCGCGGAAGAUGUAACGGGGCUAAACCAUGCACCGAAGCUGCGGCAGCGAACGUAUCACUUAAAGCGAUUCAGCGGGUUACGAUUGACGGAGCGAAGCGACGUCAAAGCGUAUACAAAGUCGAGUCGGUUUAAGGAUACGUUCGUUGGGUAGGGGAGCGUUCUGUAAGCCUGUGAAGGUGUGUCGUGAGGCAUGCUGGAGGUAUCAGAAGUGCGAAUGCUGACAUAAGUAACGAUAAAGCGGGUGAAAAGCCCGCUCGCCGGAAGACCAAGGGUUCCUGUCCAACGUUAAUCGGGGCAGGGUGAGUCGACCCCUAAGGCGAGGCCGAAAGGCGUAGUCGAUGGGAAACGGGUUAAUAUUCCCGUACUUGGUGUUACUGCGAAGGGGGGACGGAGAAGGCUAUGUUGGCCGGGCGACGGUUGUCCCGGUUUAAGCGUGUAGGUGUGUGUUCCAGGUAAAUCCGGUUCACUUUAACACUGAGGCGUGAUGACGAGGCACUACGGUGCUGAAGCAACAAAUGCCCUGCUUCCAGGAAAAGCCUCUAAGCAUCAGGUAACAUCAAAUCGUACCCCAAACCGACACAGGUGGUCAGGUAGAGAAUACCAAGGCGCUUGAGAGAACUCGGGUGAAGGAACUAGGCAAAAUGGUGCCGUAACUUCGGGAGAAGGCACGCUGACAUGUAGGUGAAGUGAUUUACUCAUGGAGCUGAAGUCAGUCGAAGAUACCAGCUGGCUGCAACUGUUUAUUAAAAACACAGCACUGUGCAAACACGAAAGUGGACGUAUACGGUGUGACGCCUGCCCGGUGCCGGAAGGUUAAUUGAUGGGGUCAGCGCAAGCGAAGCUCCUGAUCGAAGCCCCGGUAAACGGCGGCCGUAACUAUAACGGUCCUAAGGUAGCGAAAUUCCUUGUCGGGUAAGUUCCGACCUGCACGAAUGGCGUAAUGAUGGCCAGGCUGUCUCCACCCGAGACUCAGUGAAAUUGAACUCGCUGUGAAGAUGCAGUGUACCCGCGGCAAGACGGAAAGACCCCGUGAACCUUUACUAUAGCUUGACACUGAACAUUGAGCCUUGAUGUGUAGGAUAGGUGGGAGGCUUUGAAGCGUGGACGCCAGUCUGCGUGGAGCCGACCUUGAAAUACCACCCUUUAAUGUUUGAUGUUCUAACGUGGACCCGUAAUCCGGGUUGCGGACAGUGUCUGGUGGGUAGUUUGACUGGGGCGGUCUCCUCCUAAAGAGUAACGGAGGAGCACGAAGGUUGGCUAAUCCUGGUCGGACAUCAGGAGGUUAGUGCAAUGGCAUAAGCCAGCUUGACUGCGAGCGUGACGGCGCGAGCAGGUGCGAAAGCAGGUCAUAGUGAUCCGGUGGUUCUGAAUGGAAGGGCCAUCGCUCAACGGAUAAAAGGUACUCCGGGGAUAACAGGCUGAUACCGCCCAAGAGUUCAUAUCGACGGCGGUGUUUGGCACCUCGAUGUCGGCUCAUCACAUCCUGGGGCUGAAGUAGGUCCCAAGGGUAUGGCUGUUCGCCAUUUAAAGUGGUACGCGAGCUGGGUUUAGAACGUCGUGAGACAGUUCGGUUCCUAUCUGCCGUGGGCGCUGGAGAACUGAGGGGGGCUGCUCCUAGUACGAGAGGACCGGAGUGGACGCAUCACUGGUGUUCGGGUUGUCAUGCCAAUGGCACUGCCCGGUAGCUAAAUGCGGAAGAGAUAAGUGCUGAAAGCAUCUAAGCACGAAACUUGCCCCGAGAUGAGUUCUCCCUGAGACUUAGAGUCUCCUGAAGGAACGUUGAAGACGACGACGUUGAUAGGCCGGGUGUGUAAGCGCAGCGAUGCGUUGAGCUAACCGGUACUAAUGAACCGUGAGGCUUAACCUUACAACGCCGAAG